ensembl:misc_RNA Telomerase-vert Vertebrate telomerase RNA
AGGGCCGGGAGGGGCGGCCAUCUUCUUCCUAACCCUAAGUGAGAAAGGCAUAGGCGCCGCGCUUUUGGUCCCCGCGCGCUGUUUUUCUCGCUGACUUUCAGCGCGCGGAAAAGCCUUGGCCUACUGCCGUCCACCGUCCAGUCUUGAGCAAACAAAAAAUGUCAGCCGCUGGCCGAGCACCCCUCCCGGGACCUGCGGCAGCCCGUCCGCCCGCCCGGCCCCCGAGCCCUGCCUGGAGGCCGCGGCCAGCCCGGGGCUUCUCCGGAAGCACCCAUUGCGGCCGCGAAGAGUUGGGCUCUGUCAGCCGCGGGACCCUCGGGGGCCAGGGCGAGGCCCGGGCCUGCGGCCGCAGGGAGAGUAACAGAGCGGGUCCCGCGCGGCGCGCGCCCCUGAGCAGUGGGACGAGCGCCCGGACCCGCUCGCACACGC